CCUGCCCGCGGCUCGCCCACGCCCCGCGCGGCCGGCUGGGCGCGGUCCCGGCCCGCGGGAGAAGCCCCGGGGCAGGGUGUGACGCCCUCGCGGCCCUUGGUGCCUGGCUCUGUCACUUUGUCCUCCCUCAAGGACUCGCUGACUCUUCCUGCACGUCUUGGUUGGUUCCUCCCUUCCAAGCGUGCGCUUCACCUGCCUCUACUGCGGCCGAGGGGAGCCGGUGCCACGGCAUCGUGAAACACGCAGAGCUGUCCUGGCAGCCGUGUCCCGCGUGUGCUUUUAAAACAGCAUCUGUCAGACCCGAGCCUGCCUGUUCCCAGUGAAGGAAGCGGGCUGAUAACGCUUAUCGCCUUGGCCCGCGCUCUUCCAUCUCUCCUGCAUUAGUCUGGGCCCUGGUGCCACGGGAGAAGGCAGCGGAGAUAGCGCAGGGCCCGGCCCGUUCUGGCUGGGAUGCUGCCGGGAGGACACAGCCUGCCCUGCCUGAGCCUCGGGCUCCCCCGCCGAUACACGCACGCACGAUGGAUGCAUAAACCCAAACCCACCCGUGGAAAAACCUACGGUGGGAUUGUGUUUUUAUCCCCUUUCCAGCUGGAAAAGAUGGGGAUGCAUCACCAGGAGGUGAGCAGAGCAAAACUGAAAUGACUCAGAAUGAAAGCAAAUAGUCUCCUAUUUGAAGAUGUGUGCCUUUUUAAAAAACACAUGAUAAGGAAAAUGUUAAAAAUAUACCAAGUUCUUGACUGUAUUCGACUGCAAAGACUGUAAUUACAGUGGACCCCUUCAAAGAUAUGUCCCUACUUGCUUGAGCUGUGCUGGUUUUGUGGACGUGCACCCAACACGUGUUCUCUGUCUGCACUGUGCAAUUGCACCUGUUCUCACCCUGCUGCUUGGACAUAGUCCUUUGCUACUCUCAGAUAAGUUGCCACUGGAUUUUAGUUGCCACAAGGAGAGGUUUUUCCUGACAUGCUUAGCAUAACAGCUGGAGGAGAAGAGUGAUGGUCAAAUGAAAAUAUGAGAUGGCAGGUUCAAAAGAAGGUACCUCUACACACAAAACAUAUCUUGGAAGUUACUGCUACAGGAUGUCAGGAAGCAGUUCAAAAAGCAAUGAUCACGGAAGAAAAAUCUGCACAGGGAUGUUCAGCACAAACACCUCUGAUUCAGGAACUCUUUGAGGUGCAAAUCCUCAUCCUGCAGAAGCAUUUUGGGGAGCAGCCUCCCCUGUGCUCAUGCUGUGUCAUUACUGUUGGCUGCUCUGGAGAUAGUCCAGACUGGAGUGGACUUGAAAUGCUGCUGUUCUGACCCAGCACAGUCAUCCCUACAUUUAACAUGGUUUUUUCCCCACAAUCUUUAAUAAGUCAUAGACAGCAAUUCUUGCAAUAAAUCUUUGUGACACAGAAA